GAUGAACGCUGGCGGCGUGCUUAACACAUGCAAGUCGAACGAUGAAGCCCAGCUUGCUGGGUGGAUUAGUGGCGAACGGGUGAGUAACACGUGAGUAACCUGCCCUUGACUCUGGGAUAAGCCUGGGAAACUGGGUCUAAUACUGGAUAUGACUUCUCAUCGCAUGGUGGGGGGUGGAAAGAUUUAUUGGUCUUGGAUGGACUCGCGGCCUACCAGCUUGUUGGUGAGGUAAUGGCUCACCAAGGCGACGACGGGUAGCCGGCCUGAGAGGGUGACCGGCCACACUGGGACUGAGACACGGCCCAGACUCCUACGGGAGGCAGCAGUGGGGAAUAUUGCACAAUGGGCGCAAGCCUGAUGCAGCGACGCCGCGUGAGGGAUGACGGCCUUCGGGUUGUAAACCUCUUUCAGUAGGGAAGAAGCGAGAGUGACGGUACCUGCAGAAGAAGCGCCGGCUAACUACGUG
rnacentral:rRNA from 1 species